rnacentral:tRNA from 1 species
GCGGGCUUAGCUCAGUCGGUAGAGCAUCAGCUUCCCAAGCUGAGGGUCGCGGGUUCGAAUCCCGUAACCCGCUCCA